CUACGGGCCGCUGCAGUGAGGAAUUUUGCGCAAUGGGGGAAACCCUGACGCAGCAACGCCGCGUGAGUGAAGAAGGCCUUUGGGUCGUAAAGCUCUGUCAACUGGGAAGAAGUUAAUCAUAAUUAAUAGUUGUGAUUAUUGACGGUACCAGUGGAGGAAGCGCCGGCUAGCUCCGUGCCAGCAGCCGCGGUAACACGGGGGGCGCAAGCGUUAUUCGGAAUUAUUGGGCGUAAAGGGCGCGCAGGCGGUCUUGUCAGUCAGGUGUGAAAGCCCGGGGCUCAACCCUGGAAGUGCACUUGAAACAGCAAGACUUGAAUACGGGAGAGGAGAGAGGAAUUCCUGGUGUAGAGGUGAAAUUCGUAGAUAUCAGGAGGAACACCGAUGGCGAAGGCAUCUCUCUGGACCGAUAUUGACGCUGAGGCGCGAAGGCGUGGGUAGCGAACGGGAUUAGAUACCCGCGUAGUC
rnacentral:rRNA from 1 species